GUAGGGGGCAAGCGUUGUCCGGAUUUAUUGGGCGUAAAGAGCGUGUAGGCGGCUUCACAAGUCCGCUGUGAAAACUCGAGGCUCAACCUCGAGCUGUCGGUGGAAACUGUGUGGCUAGAGUCCGGAAGAGGAGAGUGGAAUUCCCGGUGUAGCGGUGAAAUGCGCAGAUAUCGGGAAGAACACCCGUGGCGAAGGCGGCUCUCUGGGACGGUACUGACGCUGAGGAGCGAAAGCGUGGGGAGCGAACAGGAUUAGAUACCCUGGUAGUCCACGCCGUAAACGUUGGGCACUAGGUGUGGGGCUCGAUCGACGGGCUCCGUGCCGUAGCUAACGCAUUAAGUGCCCCGCCUGGGAAGUACGGCCGCAAGGCUA
rnacentral:rRNA from 1 species